rnacentral:rRNA from 1 species
CACGUAGGGUGCGAGCGUUGUCCGGAAUUAUUGGGCGUAAAGAGCUCGUAGGCGGUGUGUCGCGUCGGCCGUGAAAACCUGCAGCUUAACUGUGGGCUUGCGGUCGAUACGGGCAUCACUGGAGUUCGGCAGGGGAGACUGGAAUUCCUGGUGUAGCGGUGAAAUGCGCAGAUAUCAGGAGGAACACCGGUGGCGAAGGCGGGUCUCUGGGCCGAUACUGACGCUGGAGGAGCGAAAAGCCGUGGGGAGCAAACAGG